UCCGGUUUGGCACCGGCAGUCCCUCCAGAGUCCCCGGCCGGCCUCUCGGCCGCCGCUGGCAACUGGACGCGGGGGUUGCGCUCGUUGCGGGACUUAACCCAACAUCUCACGACACGAGCUGACGACAGCCAUGCAGCACCUGUGCUGGCGUCCCGAAGGAGGCCCGGGCUUUCACCCGGGUUUCACCAGCAUGUCAAGCCUAGGUAAGGUUCUUCGCGUUGCGUCGAAUUAAACCACAUGCUCCACCGCUUGUGCGGGCCCCCGUCAAUUCCUUUGAGUUUCAGCCUUGCGGCCGUACUCCCCAGGCGGGGCACUUAAUGCGUUAGCGACGGCACCCGGGGGGUCGCUCCCCCAGGCACCUAGUGCCCAUCGUUUACGGCGUGGACUAC
rnacentral:misc_RNA from 1 species